rnacentral:rRNA from 1 species
GACGAACGCUGGCGGCGUGCUUAACACAUGCAAGUCGAACGAUGAAGCCGGAGCUUGCUCCGGUGGAUUAGUGGCGAACGGGUGAGUAACACGUGAGCAAUCUGCCCUUGACUCUGGGAUAACUGCGGGAAACUGUAGCUAAUACCGGAUACGACACCUUGGGGCAUCCCAGGGUGUGGAAAGAAUUUCGGUCAAGGAUGAGCUCGCGGCCUAUCAGCUAGUUGGUGAGGUAAUGGCUCACCAAGGCGACGACGGGUAGCCGGCCUGAGAGGGUGACCGGCCACACUGGAACUGAGACGCGGUCCGGACUCCUACGGGAGGCAGCAGUGGGGAAUAUUGCACAAUGGGCGAAAGCCUGAUGCAGCAACGCCGCGUGAGGGAUGAAGGCCUUCGGGUUGUAAACCUCUUUUAGCAGGGAAGAAGCGAAAGUGACGGUACCUGCAGAAAAAGCACCGGCUAACUACGUGCCAGCAGCCGCGGUAA